UUUUAGCCCCGAUGGAAGCGGCAUCCUUUUUCUUUUUAGAAAAAGAUAUAGCGAACAGCGGGAAGAAAU
rnacentral:sRNA from 1 species